GAUGAACGCUGGCGGCGUGCAUAACACAUUCAAGUCGAACGGUGACGGGGCUUCGGCCCCUGAUCAGUGGCGGACGGGUGAGUAACGCGUGAGCAAUCUGCCUCUGUGUGCGGGAUAACAGCCGGAAACAGCUGCUAAUACCGCAUAACGUAUACGGGCCGCAUGACCUGUAUACCAAAGGUUUACUGCACAGAGAUGAGCUUGCGUCUGAUUAGAUAGUUGGCGGGGUAACGGCCCACCAAGUCGACGAUCAGUAGCCGGACUGAGAGGUUGAACGGCCACAUUGGAACUGAGAAACGGUCCAGACUCCUACGGGAGGCAGCAGUGGGGAAUAUUGGGCAAUGGGCGAAAGCCUGACCCAGCGACGCCGCGUGAGGGAAGACGGUCUUCGGAUUGUAAACCUUUGUCAACAGGGACGAACAAAUGACGGUACCUGUGGAGGAAGCCACGGCUAACUACGUGCCAGCCGCCGCGGUAAAAC
rnacentral:rRNA from 1 species